UCUUCUUCCUACUUCUGCCUCUUCUCUGUUUUUCCUCCAUUCUUUUUCUGUUCGAGUUUUGAGAGAUCAAAUAGGAGUUAUAAGAUCAUGUGAAGAAGCGUAUGAGAAAGGGAUCAGUAGGUGAUGGUGAUUAGAUCUGUUGUUGAUUCAAAAUCGAAGGAGGGAGUGAAUUAAGAGUUAGGGUUUAUGAGAAAUCAAUUGGAGUUUGAUUAGGUGAUGAUUAAGAGAGGAAUUAAGGGUUCUGUUUAGGUGAGAGAUGCAAUCGAUGAGAGAUCAGUUGACAUAGAAGAUGUUGAUAAAGAAAUGGAAGUGGUGAUGAUUGUUUUAUCAAAUAAUUAGGGUUUUUCAGAAGAUUGUGUAGAAGUUCGAUUAGAAGAUGAAUUGAUGUUUUAAGAAGGGGGUCUGAGAUGGGUUUUUACAGAUAGAAUGAAUUGGGGUUUAUAAUGAAUAGAGAUUGAAGAGUUAAGAGUUUUCAUGGAUCCAGUGAUGGUGUUGAAGAUUGUGGGUAUGGAUUGGGUGAGAUGAGGAGUUCUGAGUGGUCUUGAGAUGAUCUGCUGAAUUGAGUCAGAAGCAAGGAAGAUGGAUUUUCUUUAAGGUAAUAGUUUCUGAGUUGAUCUAGUAAAGCUAUUUACUUCUUUUGAUUCAGUAUCUGUAGUUGAUAAUUGGGUUGUGGUUUAAUUAAAGAGGUGAAGUAGUUUUGCUGGAAAAUCAGUGGAUUUGGGUUCUAAAGAGAACUAAGAUUAAAUGGUAGAGAUGAAUGUUGAGUUGAAUGAGUAUUGGUUUUGUAACAGAAAUGAGAUGAAGAUGUAAUUGAGUCUCUGUUGGUGUUGUUAAUGGAAUUGAGUUGAUGUUAUAAUUAGUUGAAUUUGGUGAUUAUACUGUUGAACUGAUAAAAGUGGAUUGUUAGGGUUGCAAUUAUGUGAAAUGGUUGGUGUUAGUAUUCAGAGGUGCAGGACUGGAUGGAGUUGUAGUUGUUGGAGUUGCUUGUGAGAUGAUGAAGUUGUAAUGAGUUCAGCUGAAGUUAAUUGUGCUAGAAGGAGCUGUAAUAGGUGAGGGUACACGGAAUGAUGUUGGGUAUCAAGGAUUGCUUGCAAUGGUGGUAGUGAUGUUACUGAAUCGGUGGUGGUAGUGUAUCGGAAUACUGUUGAAGUGGCUGGCUUUAGUUUUGGAGCUGAGUUGUUGCUAAUGGUGCUAUUACAGGUGCAAUGUGGUAGCUAAGGUUAGUGGUGGAGCUAGUGGUACUCUCAAAUGAAGUUUGGUGAUGGUUGAGGAUUGUUGUUCAGUGGUUGAGUUCUUAGAGGGGGUUAUCUAUAGAUGAAGUUGAUGAAGUCGAUGAAUGAAAUUGCAGGCUUGCUGAACUAAGAUGAGUUAAAAUAGCUUUUAGUAUUGGAACUGCAGUUGUGAGGACUUUGAGGUGCAUGUGAACUUCAGUUCGAAGAAUGGGUUUACAGUUGAGUAAUAUAUGGGUUUAUACAAGUAAGAAGAGAUGGAGAUACAAGUGAUGGUUCUGUACAAUGAAUGGAACGGAAGUUGCUUUAGUAUGUGUAGGAUUAUGGGGUUGUUAAGGUAAAUUGUAGGUACAGUGGUAGACCUAGUGUUGUUGUCUGUGGAUUAGUAUUGUAGCUAGCUGAAUAUAGAAGGAGUGUUGCGUAGAGCUGCAAAUGCAGUUAGUCUACAUUAACAACGGUCGAUUCAAAGGAUGAACCAGUGGAUCGUGGAUCUCGAGGUAGGCGUGGCUUGUCAUCAAAAGACGUGGAAUACAUUCGACUCUUGGUAAUAAAUAAAGUUUGGAUGAAUAGCAGAGCGGAAAAGAGCAGAAAAGUAGUGAAAAGCCGGG